rnacentral:rRNA from 1 species
AGUACCUUACUACUUGGAUAACCGUGGUAAUUCUAGAGCUAAUACAUGCUAAAAACCUCGACUUCGGAAGGGGUGUAUUUAUUAGAUAAAAAACCAAUGCCCUUCGGGGCUCCUUGGUGAUUCAUAAUAACUUCUCAGAUCGCAUGGCCUUGCGCCGGCGACGGUUCAUUCAAAUUUCUGCCCUAUCAACUUUCGAUGGUAAGGUAUUGGCUUACCAUGGUUUCAACGGGUAACGGGGAAUUAGGGUUCGAUUCCGGAGAGGGAGCCUGAGAAACGGCUACCACAUCCAAGGAAGGCAGCAGGCGCGCAAAUUACCCAAUCCCGACACGGGGAGGUAGUGACAAUAAAUACUGAUACAGGGCUCUUUUGGGUCUUGUAAUUGGAAUGAGUACAAUUUAAACCUCUUAACGAGGAACAAUUGGAGGGCAAGUCUGGUGCCAGCAGCCGCGGUAAUUCCAGCUCCAAUAGCGUAUAUUAAAGUUGUUGCAGUUAAAAAGCUCGUAGUUGAACCUUUGGCCUGGCUGGCAGGUCCGCCUCACCGCGUGCACUUGUCCGGCCGGGCCUUCUUUUCUGGAGAACCGCAUGCCCUUCACUGGGUGUGUUGGGGACCAGGACUUUUACUUUGAAAAAAUUAGAGUGUUCAAAGCAGGCCUUUGCUCGAAUACGUUAGCAUGGAAUAAUAGAAUAGGACGUGCGGUCCUAUUUUGUUGGUUUCUAGGACCGCCGUAAUGAUUAAUAGGGACAGUCGGGGGCAUCAGUAUUCAAUUGUCAGAGGUGAAAUUCUUGGAUUUAUUGAAGACUAACUACUGCGAAAGCAUUUGCCAAGGAUGUUUUCAUUAAUCAGUGAACGAAAGUUAGGGGAUCGAAGACGAUCAGAUACCGUCGUAGUCUUAACCAUAAACUAUGCNGACUAGGGAUCGGGCGG